CAAGCAGGCUCCACACUCAGCACAGAGACCGUUGCAGGACCCAGGCUCAAGCCCACAACCCUGGGACUGUGACCAAAGCUGAAAUCAAAAGUUGGACACUCAACUGACUGAGCCACCUAGGCGCCCCUUUUCUUUAUCUUCUGAGGUAUAUCUUACGUACAGUAUAGUACGUGGAUUGCAAAUAUAUAGUACAAUGGAAUUUUACAUUUGUAUCUGUAGCUGUGGUAGGCUGAAUUCUAAGAUGACUCCCACUGAUCCAUGCCUUUAUAUAAUUCUUUUUCUCUUGAGUGUGGGAAGGACCUGUAAAUGUGAUAGUAUAUCACUCCCAUGACUUUAAAAAAAGAGAUACUAUCCUGGGCAGACCUGACUUAAUUGGAUAAGCCCUCAAUAGGGACCAAGUUCUUCUUGAAGAAAUUCGAAGUGUGAGAAGGCUUCCAUGUGAGCGGGAUUCUUUGUUGCUGGCUCUAAAGAUGGAGGAGGCCAUGUGGCAAGAAAUGUAGACAGUUUCUAGGAGCUGAAGGGCAUUCCCCAGCUGACAGUGACCAAGGAAACAAGAAACUCAGUAUUAUAACCACAAGGAACUGAAUCUGGCCACUAAUUGAAUGGGGUUGGAAGCAGAUUUCUCUUGUCUACAGAAAGGAACACAGUCCUGCUGUCAACCUGAUUUCAACCUGUGAGACCCUUAGCAGGGAACCCAGCUAUGUCAUGCCCUGGACUCUUGGCAGAACUCUGUGAUAUUAAAUGUCUCUUGUUUUUAAGUUACUAAGUUUGUGGUGAUUUGCCAUGCACCAAUAGAAAACUAAUACAAUUACUGCCACCCCUACAAAGAUAUAGAAUGUUUAGAACAUAUAGAAUAUUUCUAGCAUUCCAGUGUUGCCCUUUAUGAUUAAAAACUAUUAAUACUACUACAGUAUUGAACUUUCACAACAGCCCUUCAAAAUAACUAAUAAUUUACCCAUUUUAUAGGUAAUUGAAGCAAGGUCCAGAGACUGAUACGUCGUCAUUUUGACAUCUGCUCUGUGUCUGAUGCUAGACUAGAUUCUGAGAAUACAGGAGAUGAGUAAGAUGAGAGUUUUAAGUGAUUUCUGGGGUCUCCUAUUGGAGAUGUGGAGUCAGCCAUAAACCAGGACCUCUGACUCGAGUCUAGCCCUUUUUCUGCUAUCCCUUAAUAUGCUUGGGAGGUGUGGGGGAGGAUGUCUUAACGUUUGGGUUUGUCUGCAGUAGUGGAGUUCAUCAACUCUCUAGUUUCUAAAUGCAUCCAAAUGGUGGAGUGAAUGAUAAAAUAGUGUUUUAUGUUGUUCGAUGAAAACCAUACUAAUGACUUUAUGGAUGGGACCUCACUAUAAGGUUGUUUAGAAAAUGGAAAGGUGCUAUCACAACAAAGUGGACAAAGCUACUUAAAAAAAAAAAAAAAAGGUUUAUUUAUUUAUUUU